rnacentral:miRNA from 1 species
UGCAUCGUGUGUGACCUCCCUA